CUGAGCUAUGGAGAUGGUUCAACUUCCAGAGGCUUCCUCAUAAAUUUUUGGAAUUUUUGAGACACAGAUAAACUUCGGGUGAUCGAGAUCAACUAUUUUCCUGCAUCCAGCAGCCACAAUAGUCGAUGGUAUACUGCUACAGGAGGAGACAUUUUUCAGAAUAACCUGUCCCUUUCCUCUCAGGUUAUGAAAAGAUUACUUAAUUGUAUUAUUAUUCUCUAAAUUUGUAAUUUAGGACUCCGCAUGUGCUAGUAGUAGCAUUAAGCCUAUCAGAGACUGUAUGAAUUCAAGUUUUCAUAUUAAUAAAUGAAAAGAAAAAAAUUUUAUGA